CCGUAAUUGCUUGUCACGACGUCAACAUGGUCGCGUGUGAUUUCAACCGUCAUACUUCAAAAUCGUACUAAUUUCAGCCGAAACUCUCGCAAACGCAAGAAUUCAAUUCAAACGUUUAUUUGGGUUGGAUAUCGUCAAUUUAGCCAUUCAACCUUGUUGACUUCAUGUUGCGUGCAUGUUAUAGAACCCGGAAAAAAAAUUGGGUGAUUUAUAUCGGUAAGACGGAAACGUGUGGGCCGUCACGUCAUGCCAUGGAAACGUGCUGGCAAACAUUGUACUUUGAUCCUUACGGCGUUGUCAGAAGCUAGUAACUGCCGCUCUGUUUGUGGAAAACUGAAUGUUUCUUAAAACGACACAAUAACAUCUAGAUGGGCAGUUGUUUUUGAUUAAACGUUCUGGAAUGUUGGAGUUGAACAAAAUAAUGACGACUGCUCGAUUGCUAUCGGACGGGAAAUUCUGGCGCAAUCUUAAGCGCUUCAAAGAAAAGAGGUCUUUCGCGUUGGCGUCAGUUCACUGCUUAGAUGGCGUGUUAAUUACAUUGUGCUCGGUUGAUGUGUUCACGAUACUUAGACAAGAUAAACAGUAGAGAUUUUUCCGCAUUCGUGUUCAAUCCAAACCCGUUCACCAAUCCGUUCCAGUUUGGCCACAAUGACGGAGAUUUUGGAUCUACAUUUUAAAGUAAACUCUUACGUUCAAAUGCAUGAAACAAUACUUUUAAAGUCUUCUAUUUUUUUCUAAAAAUUCUGUUAACUUACUUUAUGUGAUAAUGUAUCAUAUCACUACAAGUACAAAGGUACAGAACCUUUCUAUCUUUUUGGGAACUUAACCCUUUAUUAUUGUUUGAGGUGUUAUUGGGAAAGAAUACGAACAGUAAAUGGCUCACUGAAGGAUUUUCAUGUUAUCACAUGUCGAACCAAGAUCGUGGUUGUGACAUUUGAAUCCAUUUAAACUAUUUUAGGAUGACAGUCGAAAUGAAUAAUCGUGUUAAAACCAAUUUCAGUAUGGAAUGAAGCUGGAUUUACCUUUGUGUGUAAACAGUUUAGAAUCCGAAUGCCCCUCUGUUGAAAACUACAAGCAAAGUGGGAAAAUCUUCUGCGGUGUGAACUCGUGCUAAAGCGUUUUUGUUGCUUGUUUGGCUUGUCUAGUUUAUUCAACAAAGACAAAAAUAAUUUUGUCGUGGCCAAUUUCAUUCCUUUUAUUGUCUGGUAGAAUUGAUCAACAAUUAUUUGAUUGCGGUUGGUUUAAAUUGUGUUAGCGAAACUAUUUUGACGAAGUAACAAUGGGUCCUGUAAAUAGUGCAUCUGGCAUGUCGACUUAAGUGGCUCCUGUUAUCUUUUUAACUCUUUUAUAUUAAUAGUAACUGUAAUUGAUACACCUCCCUUACUUUGUUACAGCCAACGAAGAUUGAUCUAGAUUGCGAAGCUGAUCUGACUAAGUCAGUUUACCUCAGGUUUUUAAUCAUGCUCGGUGCUGUUUGUUUAACUGAGGUUAGGGUGAAGCUUGGUGCACUAAAUGGUAUAAUUUGUGUUAGGCUCUCUGCAUGAGAUCGCCUACGUUAAUCCCUGCAGUAAGUGAUCAUGUCAUGGCAUUGUUGGUGUAGAAGGUAGGUCUAGUUUGUUUUGGUGACUCAGCAGAAUGGUUUACGUUACCAGUAAUUUCUUUUCUCAACCUAAAUCAUGAAUUCGUGGUUUUCCCAUCGCAUCAAGCGCGCCUUGGUAAACAAAAAUAAUGAAAAAAAAAUUGAUCUGAUAACUCAGUAAUUUAGCUCUAGUUUGGAGUUUGAUUAAUUAAUGGAACUGUCAAGGUUUUGUUCUAGAAUGUUAUUCAUGCGUGGGUGAUUCAUAGAAAUAUUUCCGCUAAUUAAUUGACAGAACUGUGGGAGUCGCCAGGUUAGCCUCCUUAGGCACGGCUAUUGAUAUGGCGGCCACAAAAGCGUAUGAAGCAGCCAUUGAUUCGUUUUGGAUUUAAAUCGAUAGUUUGUCACUCGAGGGAUUGUGUGCAGUUUCAAUUAUACUUUUUAAGGUGCAAAAAGGUUUCUUAAAGAUAAAGCUAUGUGUGAAAUUUUUUACACCGACGACACAACUUUUCAAAACCGUUUCCCUCUGUCACACAGUCCAAGAGUUUGGAAAUGAAAGAGAGCCCUAUUCAAACCUCUCGAGGUCUUUUAUAUAAAGGAUAAAACUCUUAACUUAAAGUGGUUCAUUCUGAAUAUAAAUUACCUCAUAUGGCAAUUGGUAAUAACAGGUGCUCAUUUAGAUGCUGUUUGUUUGCUAUGAUAGAAAUCAAAGGUUUUUUGCAUUUCAUGUUGUUAGCACCCACCAAGUUGAUGCAGCUUGUGUAGUUAAAGUAGAUUGUGUGAUUACAAUGCGUUCUAUGAAAGUGUCUUUGCUUUAGUAAGUAUGGUUUGGGUGUGUCCGUUCUUUACUUCGUGAAGUUGAGCUAAAGCAUGAUUAGAAUUUCCUGAGUGUGGUGCUGUAUGCAGAUGAGAGGGUGUGGUGCAUAUGAUGAUCAAUGUUCCUUUGGGAUAUCACAGCGGUAUUGUUGUUUAAGGAAUUCGUUAAAUUUCCUCUCUAGCUCGUGACGUAUGUAAAGCCAAUGAAACUCGUAUUACAAAGGUUUUGUGCUCUCAAUCGUUACAGUACACGAAAUAUAGCAAAAUUGCCAAGUUGUGCUAAGCCUAGAAACUGAAUUGCACUUUCAAAUUUACUUAGGUGAGCGCACUGGGCAAGGGGAACAAAAGUCAUCGCUUUGUACAUUCGCAAAUAAAGCCUCUCAAGGUUUUAUUUGAAUGAGCAAUUCAUCCUUAUCUCUUGGAAACAAUCCUUAUCAAUUCACCAAGACUACUAAUCUUGUGCUUCAUUAUUUUUUUUCUUCGACUUUCUGUGUUCAAGCCAUAUGUUUUUGAACCACAGGCCAUAUGUUUUUGAACCACAGGCCUACAUUUUGAGGAUAGAGUCGUUGUAUCUUUCCAUCUACAUGAACCAGAGAAAAACUUUAAGGACGAAAAACAUGCAAAGAAAGCUCAGUUGUGUAGACUGCUUUCAAUGCGAAUAUUACAGCUGUCCUUAGUAGAUUGAGUUCAAAACUUUCAACAACUUGUCUGUCAAUAAGGAACUGUAUUCAGGGGGUUGUGAUACAGUUGCCCUUGAUGAAACCCCGAACAUGAAAAAACCCUGAACCUGAUCAAAAGAAGGUGAAAAUUACACUGGGAAAUCAAAGGCGUAAUAACUGUGUGAUAUGGACUCCAAACAGAACAGUCUCCAUCAGUUCAGACCAUUAUUUUCGCAUAUAUGUUGCGUUCUUUGAAAAGAAGGCAGAUAUCCAACGUAAAGGCCGAUUUUCCCAAUCCAGGAGGCAUCAUUGAUGGCGAUGAAGAAGGCAAGCUGACCUCAUGUUGGGAUACUCUGUUGUGGGCUGACAUCCGCUAAGGAGGUGAAACAAUACGUGGCUGUCGGCGUCCUUCUCGUGGAAUCCUGCUGCAUGAGUAAACGAGAUAAGCCUGUACUCGUGGCUUAACAGUUUUCCCGAUGAUUUUCUUCAGCAAUCAAGAGCGUUUACAUAGUGUAUGAAAUUGUGUGAGGGUUUGUAAAAAAUAUCUAUUUCAUCCUUAUUUUUUUAAUAAAAUUAGUUACAGUAUCAAACGAAAA